rnacentral:hammerhead_ribozyme from 1 species
AUCCAGCUGAUGAGUCCUACAUAGGACGAAACGCGCAUCAAACUGGAU